rnacentral:misc_RNA from 1 species
AACCAUAGAAACCUGCGGAGUACCUGCGGAAGGAUCAUUACCGAGUUUACAACUCCCAAACCCCUGCGAACAUACCACUUGUUGCCUCGGCGGAUCAGCCCGCUCCCGGUAAAACGGGACGGCCCGCCAGAGGACCCCUAAACUCUGUUUCUAUAUGUAACUUCUGAGUAAAACCAUAAAUAAAUCAAAACUUUCAACAAUGGAUCU